GCGUCUUAAGACCCACAGUCAGAAAGGCAAGAAUGUUAGCGUCCUGCCUUGGGGCCAGUGAAAGGAGGGCAGGAGGUCAAAGUCCCCCGCCCACACCCCCCAAGCCUCACCCACCCAACAUUCUAACAAAAGGCCCUACCGAGGGCUAUGGGAAUAUGGGAAUUACCAGCCAGGAACGGUGGAGGAAAACCAGCGUCUACCAGAAUGCCAGACAGCUUCUUAGGAGUGGAAGCAAUGGUCCCAGUUUGCAGUGUCUUGUAUGGACGUGAUCCGUACCAACUUGGUUUCCAGAAGGCACCACCCAAAUUAGAGGCCCUUCUCACUGUGACCCUGCCGGCAGUAAGCCUCAGAAACUGCUCUCAACACACAGUCAGCAUCUAUGCCGGCUUCUUUCCGCAGCUGCGCUACCAGGUGGGGAACACCUAUGGGCGUACCACGGGGCAGCUGCUCACAGACCCCAGUGUGCAGAAGAGCCCCUGCUCUGUGCUGUCCCCCAUGUCCAAGCCCAAGUUCAUUGAGGACUUCAGCCAGUCCAAGCCCCCGAGGGUUCCCUGCCGAGACCUGACGGAGCCCUACAUCCCCCACUACACCAGUCUGAAGCCCUAUAAGAACUUUGAGAUUCUGGGCCAGCUCCCACCCUUGGAGGUGGACGCCCAGGAGCCGCCAGGGGUAGAGAACAUACCCAGACAGAUUCUGCUGCCUGCAGGCUUCACGCCCGACCCCCCGCACCCUCCGUGCCCGCCAGGCAGGAAGGGAGACUCCAGAGACUUGGGACACCCAAUAUACGGGGAAGAGGCCUGGAAGAGCGCCACUCCUGUCUGCGAGGCCCCCAGGCAGCACCAGCUGUACCACUGCCGGAGGGAUGAGUACCCACCCCCCGCCCGCCAGCAGGAGGCGCUAGAUGUGGGCAGCUUCCAGUGGCUGCCGCAGCUGGACCACCCUAACCUGAUCCAACGCAAGGCCAUCUCAGAACAGGCUAGCGGCCUGGGGGGACCUCCUCUGCCUCCCAGCUGCUUCCAGGAGCCCAGCUUUUCCCAAGACGAGGCGGUGCCUUGCCUGCCUGUUCCCAUUUGGCCACAUCAGACAGUCGCCAACGUUCAGGGAACGAAAGGGAGCCUUGCCUGGCUUCCCUGACACGUCUGAGGGCAGGUGGGUGUGCCCAGGGGAAGGCUAAGGGGGCUUGGGGUAGCCCGUACAUCUGCCUACCCCCAGGCUAUGCUGGCUUCAUUCCCCGGUUCACCUGGGUAAUGGGGUUGAAUUACCGAGACGGCGUCACACAAGCCAUGGACGAAUUCGACAAGAGCCAGUUCCUGUUUAGAAACCCCCACUGUGACCUGGGCGAGAAGCUGCCUGGAACACACUGGCCCAGCAACCACAUCUACAGCAGCCAAGGCCUGAUCCCCUUCUACAUGGGGUUCAUCCCCUCCAUGCAGGACAACUACGCCCUGACAUUCGGCAACAGCACCCGGAGGGCCUACUGGAAGGAAUGGGCAAAGCGAAACCACACACUAUGAAAAUGCUUUAAUGGUGGUGUCUGUACAGCAUGGACGUGGACAGGGAAAACAGCAAGUGCACACAGCGGGACAGGCCACAGAACAGGCUGGGAGUGAAUAAAGAGUUCACACUGCU